rnacentral:tRNA from 1 species
GGCCGGCUGGCGCAAUGGUAGCGCUUCAGACUUCUAAGUCCUCCUUGAGGAUGAGGUUAUCUGGAGGUUGUGGGUUCGAGCCCCACGUUGGUCA